UGAAAGCCAUGAAGUCACCACCAGUCCUACAGAAACACAUUUAUCUCUCUCUUUCUAUGUUGUAAUUGGAGUGCUUGUAGUUACCAUCAUAUCUGGAGUCAUCCUUGGAUUUAUUCACAGAAAGAAAUGCCACAGAGGACAGCAGGUGCCCACCAGUCAUGAAAACACAGAACUGUACACGCGUGCAGAAUACACUGAGCCGUCUGUCUUCAUGCCAACAGAAAGUGAGCUUCUUUUCAUUUCUAAAGUCAACACAUGUACCACUUAUUUCAGUGUUUGAAUAAAAAUCCAAAUUUAGGGAUUUUUCUUAAUAAGUAAUUGAAAUGGAAGAAUUUGUAUUUGUAAUCUUGUUAUGUAACAUCUACCUCUAUAAGAUGCAGGCUUUUCUUGUCCAUAUCUGUGUUGCUUCACUUUACAUUUCACUCAUCUGUAGCUGUUUGAGGAAAUAGUUGUUUUUUACAGUUUGUUUUACGGUUCAUGUUGAAUGUUUAAAACCGGACAAAUAAAGGUUGGUUUUAUCAUGUGUGCAUGUGCUGCUCCACUAAUGUGACGUGACAAUAAAAGUGACUUGAUUUGAUUACCAUCCUCUGUAACAAAAAUAAAAUGAAAUUUUAAUAUCACACAGUGAAAUAGUGAUUUUGC